rnacentral:rRNA from 1 species
CCCUUAGAUGUUCUCGGCCGCACACGCGCUACACUGAAAGAGGCAACGUGUUUGCCCGAUUCGAAAGAAUUGGGUAACCCCCUAAUCUCUUUCGUGCUGGGGAUUGAGGUUUGCAAUUAUCCUUCAUGAACGAGGAAUUCCCAGUAAGUGCGAGUCAUUAUCUCGCGCUGACUACGUCCCUGCCCUUUGUACACACCGCCCGUCGCUACUACCGAUUGAAUGAUUUAGUGAGGACUUCGGACUGAGUCCAAUGCGGCUUUCGGGCUGCGUUGGUAUUUCGGAAAGAUGUCCAAACUGUAUCAUUUAGAGGAAGUAAAAGUCGUAACA